UUUGAUGAGAUUAUACUCUAAAAUAUAUAUAAUUUUAUGGUCUUACGUUGGUUUUCUUUGCGACAUAUAUAAAUAAAUAAAAUCUUAAACAAAUAAAAUAUGUUAAUAUUUUAUGCAAUUAAAUGUAUUCAUUUUAAAUGAGUUUUGGACAAUUCAAAUUUGACAAUACAUUAAUUGAUAUCGGUUUUCUUUGAAACAUUGAUAUCAGUAUUCUUUGCAACAUUUAAAUAAAUAAAAUCUGAAAAGAUUUUAUGAGAUUAUAAUUUUUUUUCUUUGCAGAAUAUAGAAAGUCGUUGAUAACUUGAUGCAAUUAAGUAUAUGACGUUUUAAAUGAGAUUUGGAUGAUUCAAAUUUGACAGAUACAUUAACUAUUUUUUUCUUUCUAUUGCUGAAUUGGCGUGACCAUGCGCUAUAGCUAAGGUAGGUUUCAGGGAAAAAAACUUUUUAUUUACAGCUAAUUGCGUGAUAAAAGUUGAUCAAAGUGGUAUAUAUUGUGUUAAGGAAAUUUAGGCAACAAUUUUGGAGCACAAGUUUUGGUUAAUUAAUUCCUCAAUAUUUGUUAUUAUGAAUCAUAUACAAUUUCAUCUUUUAAAAUCUAAUCUCUUCUCAGCUUGUAUAUAAAUAGGUUGCAUUGCUAUCAUUUACUCAUCACAGUCUUAUUCCCAAAACUUCAUUACAAAUUUCAUUUCUCAAGCAAAACACUUAUGGUCGGGUUCAACUCAGUUGCAGAUUUGAACCAUUUAAGACAAUGUAGAGAGUUAGGGUGAAUAUCAUCCGAUUGUAGAAGCUAUAUUCCUGUGCUGGUGGCCUAACCAUUUCAAUUGAAAUGGUUCUCAUUGAUUCAAGCGGAGAUAAAAUUCAUGCAAGUGUGAAGAAAGAUUUGGAUUACAAACGAAAAGGUUCUGAAGACACUUUUUACAACAUUCGUGAUUUUUUAAUUUUUAGUUUUUUAUUAUUUCAAACCAUUCGGUUGUAGAUUUUUCCAACCCGAAUGGUUCGGUUCGGUUCGGUUCAGUUCGGUUUAAAACCGAACCGAACCGAGAAACUGAUGUGUUUUGUAAUUAUUUAAAUUAAAAAUAUUAGUUA